GGAGAUUGUUUACAGUAUUCUUGUCUGAAAGGAUGAGAGCUGUAAUUUAAGAGCGCAAUCUUCACUUCGCCCCUUUUCUGCAUAAUCCUUGUUUAGCCAAAAGGCGUAGAUAACAAGUUCAUUAACAAGAAAAGCAAAGAGUCUCUUAACGGUUAAGAGCAUAGGGCACUUUACCUCUGAAACAAUGAGGUGCAUUAAACCCGCAAGGUUUGGUGUUCAUGAUGAAAGGUCAGGUUGGUUCGUACCCAUUAGACGGUCGGCAGACUUGUACUGAACUGAGUAAUUGUGUAGAUAACUUAACCGAUAAGACUGAUGAGCUAUACUCAUUGUGCCUGAUACUGUACUAAUCGCAAGAUUGGUGGACAAAAGAGGGAAUAGAUAAUCCUCUCAAAGUGGUAUCGCAAAGCCUGUAGUCUCAAGGC
rnacentral:sRNA from 10 species